UGGAACACCACAGCCAGCCUUUUCCCACUGGAUUCUCAGAGGAAGACCAAGCCCAUCUACACCACCACUGGACCUUCAGAGGAAGACUACACCCUUCUACAGAACCACACCUGUCACUCCAGGAUGACUGCAGCCACCAUUUAAUGGGACUACUACCGACAUCCUGACCCACAGGCUGUCAGGCUGUAUUCUAACUCUGUUUAUUAAACCUUAGCAAAAAUACAACAAAAGGACUAAAUAAGGAAAAACAGGCCUGGGAGCCCACCUCGUGGCUGCCUACCAGGUGGCUCAGCUUUUAGAUGGAUGCUUUGCCUUUUAUACCUCUGGCAGGGCCCAUCCCCGGGCUGUCAGGCCCGUGCCCGGGGCACUCACCCCACAGGAGCAGCGUCACCUUCCUGGCCAUCCCGCUGUCCCCAGCCAUGUGGACUGGCUGUCACUGGCUGCUGUGGCCACCGCUCCCCUGGCUGGUGGCUCUUCGGAUGAAGGGGAAGGAAGCGAGGUCACGUCUUGUCCCCCCGUGUAGCUGGCACCUACUGGGGGCAGGGUGGGGACCUGGUGGGACAUGGAGGUGAUGGUGGGACAUGGUGUUGCUAGAAUUUGGAGGCUGAGGAGGUGUAGGGAGCCAAGGAUGGGUGUCCAGGGGAAUGAGGUGCCCAGGCAUGGGCUCCCAGGGUAAUGGGUGUUCCAAGGGUUGGCUGGACUCAGACUUGGGGAUGAGAGCCCCAGAACAACGUGACCUCCAGGGAUCUAUGAUCAUGAGAUGAGGGCCAAUGGAUGAGGUGCCAGGGGAAAGGGGGGCCCUGUGAGAAUGGGGGUCCUAGGGGAAUCAAGGUCCCCAAGUGAAGGUGGGUUCCAAGGGCUGGAAUUACCAGGAUGGGGUUCUGUGGAAUGGAGGAAUGGGGUUCCUGGGGAAUUGCAGACCAGGGAUGGGUGUCCCAGGGAAGGGGGGACAGAAGGAAUGGGGGUCCCAUGGUUGGGGCCCCAGGGAAAUGGGGGACCAGGGAUGGGCAGUGGCUAGGUGGGCCCAUGUCCCCUCACCUCCGGUUCCUGGCACAGCAAUCCAGGGAGCACCUGAGCAGGGAACGGGUUGGGGGGACCCAGGGGAGGGGGAAAAUGGGGUGUCAGGGGUGCAGGGAAGGGUAGGGAGGCUGUGGGGGAUGGAGGUGUUGAGCUGUGCCCUCUCAACAGUUUCACUUUCUUUUUCCUGGACAAGAAGGAAGAGGCCGUUUGUGAUGAGACUCAGGGACUUCGAGAGCCACAAAACUACUGCAAAUCCCACACCAAUCUGCUCAUCAACCUGACCUUGACCCUCCUCCUCCUUCCUGCCUUGCCGUGAAUGGGCAGUGGCCAGAUGCCCUGCACCCAGCACAGCUGCUCUCUCACUGGCCACAGUACCUGGAUGGGGAGAGAAAAUUGAACAAAGUGUUCCUGGGUUGAGACAAGGACCAGCAGAGAUCACUCAUCAAAUCCUGUCACAGGAAUCACAGGCUCAGAAUUAGCAAUAUUAAUUGAAUUUAUUGCUGACAAAAUCAGAGCAGGAUAAGGAAAAGUUAAAUAAACCCUUCAAAACA